rfam:TPA: Bos taurus chromosome 1, whole genome shotgun sequence.
UCAGCAGUGGUCCAGUGGUUAGGACAAUGCACUUCCACUGCAAGGGGCCUGGGUUCAAUCUCUAGUUGAAGAG